UGAGAGUCUCAUCUUUGUCCUUUCUAGAAGACACUAAGGAUCAUGUGAAAGAGCUCCCUGAGGACAGAUUAAGAGGAGAUGAGUUAAAGCUGCAAAUACCAAGAUUUAAGAUGAAAUUAAGAAUGCUGAUCAGCUAAAGGACCUUCACAUACAAAGGUUAUCCUGGAUUAUUCAGUUUUGAAGAUGGAAGAAUGGGGCCAUGGUCCAAGGCAUGCUGGUGACCUCUAGAAGCUGAAAAAGUUAAGAAAAUGGAAAAGAAACUUCAGCGCAGUGAGGCCCAAUUUGGACUUCUGACUCCAGAACUGCAAGAUAAUACAUUUGUAUCCAUUAAGCCACUAAGUUUGUGCUAAUUUGCUAUGGCAGCAACAGGAGACUAAUACACCUUGGCAGCCCUAUUUGCAUCACCUUGCGGGUACUGGGGUUUGGAGGAAUUGGCUCAGAUGCUGAUACCGUGGCUACUACUAUUGUGGUGUCUUGGUCCAUUGUGCUGCUAUAAUAGAAUACAUGAGACUUGACAAUUUAAAAUGAACAGAUAUUUAUCGGCUCAGAGUUCUGGAGGCUGGGAAGUACAAUAUCAAGAUGCUGGCUGUUUGCGAGGGUCUUCUUGCUACAUCAUUUCAUGGCAGAAGUUGCUGUGGUUCUCAUGGAAUAGACUAAUCAAAAGUGGGAAGGAAUUAAAGUUGGGGCCAGGCGGUUUUGGAACAUCGACAUAACAUUUG
rnacentral:lncRNA from 1 species